rnacentral:lncRNA from 1 species
CAUAUCUACAGAGCAAUGAUGUAUAUCCACAGUCGAUUGUCGCCCGCCUCCUCCGCAAAAGGAAGAUAGCAUGCCUCCUCCUCCUCCUCCGCCUCCGCAAAAGGAAGGUAGCAUGCCUCCGCCUCCUCCUCCUCCUCCUCCGCCUCCGCAAAAGGAAGGUAGCAUGCCUCCUCCUCUACCGCCGCCUCCUCCGCCUCCAUCUCCACCUCCGCAGAAGGGGAAUAGCUCACAGCCGCC